rnacentral:rRNA from 1 species
CCUACGGGAGGCAGCAGUGAGGAAUAUUGGUCAAUGGACGAGAGUCUGAACCAGCCAAGUAGCGUGAAGGAUGACUGCCCUAUGGGUUGUAAACUUCUUUUAUAUGGGAAUAAAAUGUUCCACGUGUGGGAUUUUGUAUGUACCAUAUGAAUAAGGAUCGGCUAACUCCGUGCCAGCAGCCGCGGUAAUACGGAGGAGCCGGGCGUUAUCCGGAUUUCUUGGGUUUAAAGGGAGCGUAGGUGGAUUGUUAAGUCAGUUGUGAAAGUCUGCGGCUCAACCGUAAAAUUGCAGUUGAAACUGGCAGUCUUGAGUACAGUAGAGGUGGGCGGAAUUCGUGGUGUAGCGGUGAAAUGCUUAGAUAUCACGAAGAACUCCGAUUGCGAAGGCAGCUCACUGGACUGCAACUGACACUGAGGCUCGAAAGUGUGGGUAUCAAACAGGAUUAGAUACCCUUGUAGUC